UCAUCUUUCUCAGAUCCAGAGUCCGAUUCAGAUAUCAUCAACGAACUUGUUCAUGUCAACCUCCGAAUCAGGCUUAAUCCAUCUCGACGACCAUGGAAUCUCCAAAUUCAUCAUCUCCUCUCACACUCCAUGACCUUGCAAAACCGAGCUCCGUCUCAAAGAGUUUCGCCGCGACCUCAUCUCCGCUUCUUUCCUCGAGUUCUCUCAGUCCCAAUCUUCUCUACGUCCGACGCAAACUAACUCCGUCUCCAAGAGAUUUGCCGCUGAAUUCGUCGUUGAUGGGGGUGGUCUCAUCGUCAACCUAUUUGCAGGCUGGCCUAGAAAAGGGAGAUAACUGUGUUAUGGUCUGUUUGUGUUGGAAAGUGACAACGAUUCUCUCGCUCAGUUUCUACCAGGUUGAGAAAGGUGGGGAAAAUGCUCUCUUUGUAAGUAGCUAUAGGGGAGGUGUCAUAGCUGUUGCAGAUGGUUUUUCCAGCUGGGUUGAACAAGAUGUUGACCCUUCCUCGUACGUUCUCCAAAGAGCUCAUGGCUCAUGCUUCUCGUCUGGUUGAUGAUGAAGAGGUAGUUUUGAAAUCUCACUAUGAAGUCUUAAUCUAUCUUUUGAGUUUUUUUUCUGAUUACGUUUUGGACACAAGUGAGAUAUGAUCCUGGUUUCCUAGUAGCCAUGCUUGAGGAAGUUGGUGUUCUGAAAAUAGGCAAUGUUGGAGACUGGGACUACUUAAGCUUCUUAGACAAGGCCAAAUCAUAUUUUCAACUACUCCACAAGAGCAUUACUUUGACUGUCCUAUACACCUUAUGUUACCUCUCUAUGGUGGUGGUGGUGGUAGCAACAUGACAAAGAAGAUCUUUGUAGCUGCACCUGACGACAAAGCUGGAGCAACGUCAACUUCCGUCUCUCGCGAAGUUCAUCUGCCUGACAACGAAGCUCAGAGAAGAGCCGUUUUGAUUGAGCCGAGAUGAAGCUCUGCGCCUGAUGAGUUUCUCUGCCACUUCUCAAAUCCGUAUUCGCCGGUCUCUGUCUUCACCGGAGUCACCAAAACCACCGCUCGUCUCCACCAUCAGCGAUUAAAUGGCUUCUUAAGCUAUCAAAAGUUCAUGAAAUCACCCAAGUUCCAAGCUUUAGCAAAGAAGCUGAGUUCUUCUUGCAAGGGAUAAUGGAUGGACUUAGAUGGAUGAAACAAUGGAAGUUAAGAUGAUUGAGAAAAAUGUGUCACAUCCAGAGAUUGCUAAGGUCUUAAAGAUAUCUCUCCUCUUGCUUCACUGCGGUUUAGAUUUUAAAUAAAUUUCUCGUCUUUUAUUUGAUUCAGUUUUUUUUUUCAUUUUGCUUGCAUCUUUCCCAUGGUUUGACGAUUGACAGAGAUAGAAUAUGGAGGACAACGGUAGGAGAGCACGCCGGAGAUAUGGCUGAGAGAGCAUGACGACGGAGGACAUGGCUGAGGAGGGCGUCGAGGAGGAGGUAGCAUAAGCGGUGUGUGCGUGGAAGAUAGCGACGUUGGAGUUCUGUGAGGAAGAAGAAGAUCAGUGACAUCCAGAGAGGAGGCGGCUUGAAUUGAAACUUGAACUGUUUAGUUUUAUUUUCUAGGUUUAUUUUAUUUUCUAAUUCUGAGUUAUUUUUGUAAACCAUAAUUUACUU